rnacentral:tRNA from 2 species
GGGCCUGUAGCUCAGUCUGGUAGAGCAGCGGCCUUUUAAGCCGAAGGUCGGGGGUUCAAAUCCCCCCAGGCCCA